rnacentral:rRNA from 1 species
UACGGGAGGCAGCAGUAGGGAAUCUUCGGCAACGGACGAAAGUCUGACCGAGCAACGCCGCGUGAGUGAAGAAGGUUUUCGGAUCGUAAAACUCUGUUGUUAGAGAAGAACAAGGAUGAGAGUAGAACGUUCAUCCCUUGACGGUAUCUAACCAGAAAGCCACGGCUAACUACGUGCCAGCAGCCGCGGUAAUACGUAGGUGGCAAGCGUUGUCCGGAUUUAUUGGGCGUAAAGCGAGCGCAGGCGGUUUCUUAAGUCUGAUGUGAAAGCCCCCGGCUCAACCGGGGAGGGUCAUUGGAAACUGGGAGACUUGAGUGCAGAAGAGGAGAGUGGAAUUCCAUGUGUAGCGGUGAAAUGCGUAGAUAUAUGGAGGAACACCAGUGGCGAAGGCGGCUCUCUGGUCUGUAACUGACGCUGAGGCUCGAAAGCGUGGGGAGCGAACAGGAUUAGAUACCCUGGUAGUCCACGCCGUAAACGAUGAGUGCUAAGUGUUGGAGGGUUUCCGCCCUUCAGUGCUGCAGCAAACGCAUUAAGCACUCCGCCUGGGGA